rnacentral:rRNA from 1 species
GACAGAGGUGCCAAGCGUUAGGCGGAAUCACUGGGCUUAAAGCGUGUGUAGGCGGACCGUUAAGUGCUUUGUGAAAUCCCCCGGCUCAACCGGGGAAUGGCUUGGCAUACUGGCGGUCUUGAGCCACCUAGGGGCAACUGGAACAAACGGUGGAGCGGUGAAAUGCGUAGAUAUCGUUUGGAACGCCAAAGGUGAAAACAGGUUGCUGGGGGUGUGCUGACGCUGAGACACGAAAGCCAGGGGAGCAAACGGG